rnacentral:rRNA from 1 species
AUACGGAGGAUCCGAGCGUUAUCCGGAUUUAUUGGGUUUAAAGGGUGCGCAGGCGGCCAUUUAAGUCAGCGGUUAAAUCGCGGGGCUCAACCCCAUUCUGCCGUUGAUACUGGGUGGCUUGAUUGCGGUCGAGGUUGGCGGAAUUCGUUGUGUAGCGGUGAAAUUCAUAGAGAUGACGAAGAACACCGAUUGCGUAGGCAGCUGACCAGAUCGCAAAUGACGCUCAUGCACGAAAGUGCGGGGAUCGAACAGGAUUAGAUGCCCGGGUAGUCCGCACAGUAAACGAUGAAUACUUGUUUUCGGCGAUAUACUGUCGGAGGCAAAGCGAAAGCGAUAAGUAUUCCGCCUGGGGAGUACGCCGGCAACGGUGAAGCUCAAAGGAAUUGACGGGG